GCACAAGCGGUGGAGCAUGUGGUUUAAUUCGACGCAACGACGAAGAACCUUACCAGGGCUUGACAUCCCCUGACCGCGUAUGAAAGUACGUUUUCACCUUCGGGUGACAGGGAGACAGGUGGUGCAUGGUUGUCGUCAGCUCGUGUCGUGAGAUGUUGGGUUAAGUCCCGCAACGAGCGCAACCCCUACGUUUAGUUGCUAACGCGUGAAGGCGAGCACUCUAGACGAACUGCCGUUGACAAAACGGAGGAAGGUGGGGAUGACGUCAAAUCAUCAUGCCCCUUAUGUUCUGGGCUACACACGUGCUACAAUGGUCGGUACAGAGGGUUGCCAACCCGCGAGGGGGAGCUAAUCCCACAAAGCCGAUCGUAGUCCGGAUCGCAGUCUGCAACUCGACUGCGUAAAGUCGGAAUCGCUAGUAAUCGUGGAUCAGCAUGUCACGGUGAAUACGUUCCCGGGUCUU
rnacentral:rRNA from 1 species